CUACCAGAACUACAGGACAGGGCGGCAGCAUGGUCAGGUAAGGAGGAGGAGGAGGAGUUCCUACCAGAACUACAAGAUGGGGAGGCAGCAUGGUCAGGUAAGGAGGAGGAGGAGGAGGAGGAGGAGGGGGAGGAGAAGGAGGAGGAGGUCCUACCAAAACUACAGGAGGAGGGGGUCAGGGAAGGGUCAGGUAAGGGUCAGGGACAGGUCAAAGAUCAAAGGUUGUAUGGUCCAUUUUAGUUCAAGAUAGAAAUGUGCUUGUAGCCACAUGGGUCAAAUGUAUUGGUGAACGUUAACUCGUGUUAGUUCCCAGAAUCCACUGCAUCAGCUCAGUGUUAAAAGGUCAAAAGCUUCUGGCUUUGGUUUCCACACGGUUUAAGCUCAGUGGGCUAAACUAGCGGUAUUGUCGGUAUUGUUCUGGAUGUUGGGUUAAUGUGUAGACAUCACGUUCAGUCAGUAUUGUUCUGGAUGUUGGGUUAAUGUGUAGACAUCACGUUCAGUCGGUAUUGUUCUGGAUGUUGGGUUAAUGUGUAGACAUCACGUUCAGUCAGUAUUUAACAUCUCUGAUGUUGGGUUAAUGUGUAGACAUCACGUUCAGUCAGUAUUUAACAUCUUGGAUGUUGGUUUAAUGUGUAGACAUCACAUUCAGUCAGUAUUUAACAUCUCUGAUGUUGGGUUAAUGUGUAGACAUCACGUUCAGUCAGUAUUUAACAUCUUGGAUGUUGGUUUAAUGUGUAGACAUCACGUUCAGUCGGUAUUGUUCUGGAUGUUUUCGUAUUUGCCUAGCUUCUCUUGUGCAGAAAGGAGGACCAUAAAUGGAAUCUGUCAGUCACCCAGGAGGCAGGAAGAGAUUAGAAUAGACAGAGGACCAUUAAAAGAGAGGAGCCCCAACUGGCACACAGACAGGUAAGGAUGGCACAGGACACAGCGGUACCAUAAAGUGUCAUGUUGCCAAAUGGAACUAAUGCUCUUUAACUCUCUGUCUCUCUCUGUCUCUCUCUCUCUGUCUCUCUCUCUGUCUCUCUCUCUCUGUCUCUCUCUCUCUGUCUCUCUCUCUCUCUCUCUCUCUGUCUCUCUCUCUCUCUCUGUCUCUCUCUCGCUCUCUCUCUCUCUUUCUCUCUCUUUCUCUC
ensembl:lncRNA